GGUAUGACUGGUUUUACUGAUUCCUCCCUCUUGAAGAACUGUAAUGCCAUUAAUUUCGGUGUUGCAGGGAAUCAGGACUGUUACUUCGAAAAAAUUAGAGUCGUUUAAAGCAGAGCUUUAGCUUGAAUACAUUAGCAUGGAAUAAUGAAAUAGGACGUUUGAUCCUAUUUUGUUGGUUUCUAGGAUUGACGUAAUGAUUAAUAGGGAUAGUUGGGGGCAUUAGUAUUCAAUUGUCAGAGGUGAAAUUCUUGGAUUUAUUGAAGACUAACUACUGCGAAAGCAUUUGCCAAGGAUGUUUUCAUUAAUCAAGAACGAAAGUUAGGGGAUCGAAGACGAUCAGAUACCGUCGUAGUCUUAACCAUAAACUAUGCCGACUAGGGAUCGGAUGAUGUUAAUUUUUUAAUGACUCAUUCGGCGCCUUACG
rnacentral:rRNA from 1 species